rnacentral:rRNA from 1 species
GAUGAACGCUGGCGGCGUGCUUAACACAUGCAAGUCGAACGGAAAGGCCCAAGCUUGCUUGGGUACUCGAGUGGCGAACGGGUGAGUAACACGUGGGUGAUCUGCCCUGCACUUCGGGAUAAGCCUGGGAAACUGGGUCUAAUACCGGAUAGGACCACAUUUUGGAUGGUGUGGUGGAAAGUUUUUCGGUGUGGGGUGAGCUCGCGGCCUAUCAGCUUGUUGGUGGGGUAAUGGCCUACCAAGGCGUCGACGGGUAGCCGGCCUGAGAGGGUGUACGGCCACAUUGGGACUGAGAUACGGCCCAGACUCCUACGGGAGGCAGCAGUGGGGAAUAUUGCACAAUGGGCGCGAGCCUGAUGCAGCGACGCCGCGUGGGGGAUGACGGCCUUCGGGUUGUAAACUCCUUUCGCUAGGGACGAAGCGUUUUUGUGACGGUACCUGGAGAAGAAGCACCGGCUAACUACGUG